rnacentral:rRNA from 1 species
CGCAAGAGGAGCCUGGAGACAGGUGCUGCAUGGCUGUCGUCAGCUCGUGUCGUGAGAUGUUGGUUAAGUCCCGCAACGAGCGCAACCCUUGUCUUUAGUUGCCAUCAUUCAGUUGGGCACUCUAAAGAGACUGCCGGUGUCAAACCGGAGGAAGGUGGGGAUGACGUCAAGUCCUCAUGGCCUUUAUGACCAGGGCUACACACGUACUACAAUGGCCGGUACAAAGGGCAAGGCCACUUAGCGAUAAGGAGCCAAUCCCGUAAAGCCGGUCUCAGUCCGGAUUGGAGUCUGCAACUCGACUCCAUGAAGUUGGAAUCGCUAGUAAUCGCAGAUCAGCACGCUGCGGUGAAUACCGGUUCCCGGGCCUU